UACGUAGGGGGCAAGCGUUGUCCGGAAUUAUUGGGCGUAAAGAGCGCGUAGGCGGUCUGAUAAGUCGGUUGUGAAAGUCGGGGGCUCAACCCUCGGAUGCCGAUCGAUACUGUCAGGCUAGAGUCCGGAAGAGGCGAGUGGAAUUCCUGGUGUAGCGGUGAAAUGCGCAGAUAUCAGGAAGAACACCCGUGGCUAAGGCGGCUCUCUAGUACGGUACUGACGCUGAGACGCGAAAGCGUGGGGAGCGAACAGG
rnacentral:rRNA from 1 species